rnacentral:rRNA from 1 species
AUUAGUUAGUUGGUGAGGUAACGGCUCACCAAGACGAUGAUACGUAGCCGACCUGAGAGGGUGAUCGGCCACAUUGGGACUGAGACACGGCCCAAACUCCUACGGGAGGCAGCAGUAGGGAAUCUUCCGCAAUGGACGAAAGUCUGACGGAGCAACGCCGCGUGAGUGAAGAAGGUUUUCGGAUCGUAAAACUCUGUUGUCAGAGAAGAACAAGUCGGAGAGUAACUGCUCCGGCCUUGACGGUAUCUGACCAGAAAGCCACGGCUAACUACGUGCCAGCAGCCGCGGUAAUACGUAGGUGGCAAGCGUUGUCCGGAUUUAUUGGGCGUAAAGCGAGCGCAGGCGGUUCCUUAAGUCUGAUGUGAAAGCCCACGGCUCAACCGUGGAAGGUCAUUGGAAACUGGGGAACUUGAGUGCAGAAGAGGAGAGUGGAAUUCCAUGUGUAGCGGUGAAAUGCGUAGAUAUAUGGAGGAACACCAGUGGCGAAGGCGACUCUCUGGUCUGUAACUGACGCUGAGGCUCGAAAGCGUGGGGAGCAAACAGGAUUAGAUACCCUGGUAGUCCACGCCGUAAAC